UACAGGGGGGGCAAGCGUUGUUCGGAAUUACUGGGCGUAAAGGGUCUGUAGGUGGCUUGCUAAGUCAGACGUGAAAUCCCUCAGCUUAACUGGGGGACUGCGUCUGAUACUGGCGAGCUUGAGUGCAGGAGAGGAACGCGGAAUUCCAGGUGUAGCGGUGAAAUGCGUAGAUAUCUGGAGGAACACCGGUGGCGAAGGCGGCGUUCUGGACUGCAACUGACACUGAGAGACGAAAGCCAGGGGAGCAAACGGG
rnacentral:rRNA from 1 species